CCUACGGGAGGCAGCAGUGGGGAAUAUUGGUCAAUGGGCGAGAGCCUGAACCAGCCAAGUCGCGUGAGGGAGUACUGCCCUAUGGGUUGUAAACCUCUUUUGUCGGGGAGCAAAAGCCGGACGUGUCCGGCUGUGAGAGUAUCCGAAGAAAAAGCAUCGGCUAACUCCGUGCCAGCAGCCGCGGUAAUACGGAGGAUGCGAGCGUUAUCCGGAUUUAUUGGGUUUAAGGGGUGCGCAGGCGGAUUUUUAAGUCAGCGGUAAAAUCGUGGGGCUCAACCCCAUCCAGCCGUUGAAACUGGGGAUCUAGAGUGUGCGAGAGGUAUGCGGAAUGCGUGGUGUAGCGGUGAAAUGCAUAGAUAUCACGCAGAACCCCGAUUGCGAAGGCAGCAUACCGGUGCACAACUGACGCUCAGGCACGAAAGCGUGGGUAUCGAACAGGAUUAGAUACCCGAGUAGUC
rnacentral:rRNA from 1 species